rnacentral:rRNA from 1 species
UACAGAGGUCUCAAGCGUUGUUCGGAUUCAUUGGGCGUAAAGGGUGUGUAGGUGGCGCCGUUAGUCGGGUGUGAAAUUUCGGAGCUUAACUCCGAAACUGCAUUCGAUACUGCGGUGCUUGAGGACUGGAGAGGAGACUGGAAUUCAUGGUGCAGCAGUGAACUGCGUAGAGAUCAUGAGGAAGACCAGUGGCGAAGGCGGGUCUCUGGACAGUUCCUGACACUGAGACACGAAGGCCAGGGGAGCAAACGGG